AUUGAACGCUGGCGGCAUGCCUUACACACGCAAGUCGAACGGUAACGCGGGGCAACCUGGCGACGAGUGGCGAACGGGUGAGUAAUGCAUCGGAACGUGCCCAGUUGUGGGGGAUAACUGCUCGAAAGAGCAGCUGAUACCGCAUACGACCUGAGGGUGAAAGCGGGGGAUCGCAAGACCUCGCGCAAUUGGAGCGGCCGAUGUCGGAUUAGCUAGUUGGUGGGGUAAAGGCCCACCAAGGCGACGAUCCGUAGCUGGUCUGAGAGGACGACCAGCCACACUGGGACUGAGACACGGCCCAGACUCCUACGGGAGGCAGCAGUGGGGAAUUUUGGACAAUGGACGCAAGUCUGAUCCAGCCAUGCCGCGUGCGGGAAGAAGGCCUUCGGGUUGUAAACCGCUUUUGUCAGGGAAGAAAUCUUCUGGGUUAAUACCUCGGGAGGAUGACGGUACCUGAAGAAUAAGCACCGGCUAACUACGUGCCAGCCGCCGCCGUAACAC
rnacentral:rRNA from 1 species